AGGAAACUUCAAUGACUGAGCAUGACAGACUGGUUGCAGAUACACCCAAGGGUGCUAUGCUGCUGUACUCUUGUGUGGAAAAGCUCAUGCUGAAAUACUUGGUGAGAACUCAAACACAUACCUUCUUCAGCUGAAAACACUGUGGUGACUGAACUGAAUGGCCCUUCUCCUUUGUUGUUAUAUACACCAACUUUGACUUCAUAUGGUGAAAACGGGAGACUCUUAUAGGGAGACCAAGCAGAUCUCCCUCCAGGAAACAGCAGUUAGUUUAUUGCACUGUGUAGUAUCCAUUACUGCAUACAUGGAGAAAAGGCCAUCUCUGAGGAAAUGAGACUUUUCAAGAACCUUUCUUCUGAGAUGUGGUACAAGUGAAUUGCAACAAGUGAUUCCACAGAAGCUGGGAAGCUGGUGGAAGCAAAGGCUGAAAAGCAGUAAGAAGCUGUGCCGAGAUCCACUUUGUAAAUAAUUCACAGUAUACCUUGCAGUCCCCUCCACAGGAACACUGUAAAUGAAAGGCAGAGCUCCAGAACAGCAACUCUUAUCCAGAAAUUGAGCUCCACCAAAGAGUACUGAGGUCAGCCAUGUGCCCUGUUUGGGGCCAGAAGGCUACAGAAAGCUCCUCCGGAAAGUCCUUAAUUGAGGAUCUUUACUUUUAAAUUUACACUCUAAAAGCUGGCCUGGAAAUCUCUUUUGAAACAUCUUCUGAGGGUAGUAGUUGAGCACCUCAGUAGUUGGGCAGUAAAUCAGAGGCAAAAGAAAUUACUGUAGUUUAUCGGAAAGUAGCUAUGAAACAAGUUGGAAAUUCAUAAGAAUUUUUGUAAAGUUUUGUUAAACAAAAAUUGUCACCUUCAUUUUUCUAGGCAGUAUUUC